CAAUAGCGUAUAUUAAAGUUGUUGCGGUUAAAAAGCUCGUAGUUGGAUUUCUGCUGAGAACGACCGGUCCGCCCUUUGGGUGUGUAUCUGGCUCUUUCUUGGCAUCUUCUUGGUGAACGUUGCUGCACUUGACUGUGUGGAGCGCUACCCAGGACUUUUACUUUGAGGAAAUUAGAGUGUUUCAAGCAGGCAUACGCCUUGAAUACAUUAGCAUGGAAUAAUAAGAUAGGACCUCGGUUCUAUUUUGUUGGUUUCUAGAGCUGAGGUAAUGAUUAAUAGGGAUAGUUGGGGGCAUUCGUAUUUAACUGUCAGAGGUGAAAUUUGAUUUGUUAAAGACGGACUACUGCGAAAGCAUUUGCCAAGGAUGUUUUCAUUGA
rnacentral:rRNA from 1 species